UUUAAUCUAAUUAUUUCAUAUUUUAGUCUAGUGACAUUUAUUUAGUUUAGUUUUAAAUAAGAUUUUAUCAAUUAAUAAAUUUAAAUAACACAAUACUGUGUUUUUUGAUUAAAUUGUAAAAUUGCAUUUGCUGCCUGAAUCCAUCCGCCAAAAACUUUUAAUUUAGGCUCCGAAUGGUAACAUUCGUUCCGCACCGCAGUUAACAGUAACAAAAAUUUAUGUAUAUACCAUACAUCUAUACGUUUUUAUAGCUGUCAGAACUAUACCGCAGUCAAACUGCUUGUCCCGCACCGCUCAAUCCGCUGCUACCAUUCGGAUUUAGUGUUUUUGUUACCAAAAAUCGUUAAAUUAAUUUCUUCCAACAAACGAUGUAGCAGAAUAUUUUAUUGUCCAUAUUUCUCAAGUGGCAUGAGUGUCAUCCAAAGUUCAACACUUUCAGUCAACGUCGUUUCCACUCUCAGACAAUAUAGACAAGUAGAUCUGAGUGGACUCAACA
rnacentral:lncRNA from 1 species